GGUCUGUUGGAGGUGCCCUGCAGGGGGUCUGCUGCUGGUGCCGGGGCAGGAGGCAGGCUCAGUGCCGACAUUCUUCCCGGCACCGGGGCAGAGCGCACACUCAGCACCGCGGCUAUUUUUAGCACGGAGGGGGUCGGUGCCGACGUCCUUGUCGGCACUGGGGCAGAGUGCACAGCCGGCACCACCACUAUGUUUAGCGCUGAGGCGCUCGGUGCCGCGGAAACCUUCCCGGUAUGGAGGUCGGGUUCCUGCCUCUGCAGUCUGCGGGAGCCGCGGCUGAGGCUUUAGGAAGAGCUGUGGCGCUGUCAGCACAGAGGAGACCCGGGAAGAGAAGUAGCACUGCCCCAAGUCCCAUCUUCCGCCGGGGACGGUUGAGAAGGAACUGAGGGAGAUGUGGGACGCAGGCGCGCAGGAAGAUUCCAACAAGACAGGAGAUACCAACUGAGCGCCUGCGUCCCGACCAGGCACUGCUACCGAAAAUCUCCAAUCAACGGCACCGGGACGCACCGACACGUAGAGUGGAGCACCCACAGGGACAGCACUUGAAGAAAAAUUUCAGUUGUGGGGGCGGGGAGGGAGGGGGACUUGGAAUCUUAGGGUGACCAGAUGUCCGGAUUUUUUGGGACAGACCCCAUUUUUGGAUCUUUUUCUUAUAUAGGCUCCUAUUACCCUCCCACUCCUGUCCCGAUUUUUCACACUUGCUGUCUGGUCACCCUAUGGUAUCUUGACAAGAAACUUCUCAAGAACCGUUUUUUGGGGGGGAUCAAAAAUCCAAUUUUCAGAAAAAAAAAGUUUUGACAAAAAAAGUUUGGACAAAAAAAAAAUUUUGACUGGCCCUAGUUUCAAUACUACAUAAUGUGAGUUUGAUGAUGAUUUCCAUAGCAUCAGACAAGAUGCAUGGAUUUAUUUUGUGUGUGUGUACGUAUCUCUCUCUAUUUCUGUAAUUUGCCAAUAAAAGCCACUUUUGUUGGAA